rnacentral:rRNA from 1 species
CCUACGGGAGGCAGCAGUGGGGAAUAUUGGACAAUGGGCGAAAGCCUGAUCCAGCAAUGCCGCGUGAGUGAUGAAGGCCUUCGGGUCGUAAAGCUCUUUUACCAGGGAUGAUAAUGACAGUACCUGGAGAAUAAGCUCCGGCUAACUCCGUGCCAGCAGCCGCGGUAAUACGGAGGGAGCUAGCGUUGUUCGGAAUUACUGGGCGUAAAGAGUACGUAGGCGGUUAUUCAAGUCAGAGGUGAAAGCCCGGGGCUCAACCCCGGAACUGCCUUUGAAACUAGAUAACUAGAGUCUUGGAGAGGUUAGUGGAAUUCCGAGUGUAGAGGUGAAAUUCGUAGAUAUUCGGAAGAACACCAGUGGCGAAGGCGACUAACUGGACAAGUACUGACGCUGAGGUACGAAAGCGUGGGGAGCAAACAGGAUUAGAUACCCUGGUAGUCCGCGCCGUAAACGAUGAUAACUAGUUGUUCGGUCACUUGGUGACUGAGUGACGCAGCUAACGCAUUAAGUUAUCCGCCUGGGGAGUACGGUCGCAAGAUUAAAACUUAAAGGAAUUGACGG